AGGGAGUUUGAUCCUGGCUCAGAACGAACGCUGGCGGCAGGCUUAACACAUGCAAGUCGAACGGGCGCCCUCGGGCGUCAGUGGCAGACGGGUGAGUAACGCGUGGGAACGUACCUUUCGGUUCGGAAUAACCCAGGGAAACUUGGGCUAAGACCGGAUACGCCGGAAACGGGAAAGAUUCAUCGCCGAAAGAUCGGCCCGCGUCGGAUUAGCUAGUUGGUGGGGUAAUGGCCUACCAAGGCGACGAUCCGUAGCUGGUCUGAGAGGAUGAUCAGCCACACUGGGACUGAGACACGGCCAGACUCCUACGGGAGGCAGCAGUGGGGAAUAUUGGACAAUGGGCGCAAGCCUGAUCCAGCCAUGCCGCGUGAGUGAAGAAGGCCUUAGGGUUGUAAAGCUCUUUCGUUGGGGAAGAUAAUGACGGUACCCAAAGAAGAAGCCCCGGCUAACUUCGUGCCAGCAGCCGCGGUAAUACGAAGGGGGCUAGCGUUGUUCGGAAUUACUGGGCGUAAAGCGCGCGUAGGCGGACAUUUAAGUCAGGGGUGAAAUGCCGGAGCUCAACCUCGGAACUGCCUUUGAUACUGGGGUGUCUGGAGUUCGGGGAGAGGUGAGUGGAAUUCCGAGUGUAGAGGUGAAAUUUCGUAGGAUAUUCGGAGGAACACCAGAAGCGAAGGCGGUCA
rnacentral:rRNA from 1 species